AGGUCAUGGUGAGGAUACCUUCUCAGCAAUUCCUUAAAUCUCUCACAUAUAUCAUAAAUAGUCUCAAUAUCGAAUUGAACAAAAGAAGAGAUAUCAUUCCUCAACUU
rfam:Gossypium raimondii Chr10_contig_1211, whole genome shotgun sequence.